GGUUGUCAUGCCAAUGGCACUGCCCGGUAGCUAAAUGCGGAAGAGAUAAGUGCUGAAAGCAUCUAAGCACGAAACUUGCCCCGAGAUGAGUUCUCCCUGACCCUUUAAGGGUCCUGAAGGAACGUUGAAGACGACGACGUUGAUAGGCCGGGUGUGUAAGCGCAGCGAUGCGUUGAGCUAACCGGUACUAAUGAACCGUGAGGCUUAACCUUACAACGCCAAAGCUGUU
rnacentral:rRNA from 1 species